rnacentral:lncRNA from 1 species
GAAGUGAAGAGCGCAAAGUCUCCAGGCCCAGCGCGCCUUCGCGGGGCAGGCCGGACACCCUAGCCCCGGGCCGGGCUCGCUCUUCUCUGAAGCCCUGGAGCGGGCAAGGGGCACCAUUCUGGCCACAGGAACUCUAGUUUCAGCAGCCGCAGCCCGCCAGCGCUGGCUCGGACCGGGGCCUCCUCUGGGAGAGUAGGAGAGCGAAAAAAUCAACCACCACCUUGGAUUUCAGAUCGAGGAAAGGAAGCCAAAGCAAAGGUGUGGUUACACAGGACAUCCAUAGACAAAUCGUUGCCUCUCUAAGUGGGCCUGAGCUUUGCGGCUCCAGAAGCGCGAGGCGCGGUUGGUGCGGACGCGGGGGCGUGGGAGUCAUCGCUCUCCCCGCAGCCCUGGCCGAGCUCUCUGCUGUCCUCCCGAGUUUGGGCCAGAGACCACGGCUCACUCCCUAACGCCCUCGCAAGGACGGCUGCCCGUCGGGCCAAGGGCGCCCCGGGCUGGAGGCCGGAGCAAGACGGCCCCGCGGGACUCGGGAGCCUUGGUAAGGCGGAGGCUCAGACCCCGUUCACGAAAACGCCUGGCUCCUCCAGGAUUUGUCAGGUCUUAAGCAGCUCCGAGAAGGCUCCGCUGGCUCUUGGGGAACCCCGCUGUGCGGCUCACCCCCGUUUGUCUCUCUCAAGCUCUCGCCCUCCUCCCCUGGUCCUCCCUUCUCCAGAUCCCCUGCCCUGCCCGAGGUCCGGGCCGCGCGGGCUGAGCCCAAUACGCCCGGAGAAGAGCGCCGGAGCCCCCUGCUGGCCGGACGCGGCAGGCGCGGCGGCCCGCUCGGUCCCCUCCGCCCCGCGGGCUCUGCCCAGCCCGGACCCGCCUCCACCCUCCAGUGCCCUGGCGCUGGGGGCGUGCUAAAAGCAACAGAAAACAAAACAAAAACAAACAAAGCGCCAAACCCCACUCUCACCUCUUCUACUGGUCAAAGCACUUGUCCCAACUACCUGCUUCUGGCUUUGUUUUGCCUAAAGCUGUGAAAAAUAUUAUUCAAACACAAGAUGGCAAACUGAAGAAUGAAAAAUCAACAUGUAUCAAAUGAUGAAGGGGAAAGAUGGAAGAAGCCUGGGUUCUUGAUGGCAUCAUUGAACCCUCCAUGCAAGGCCAGCAACCAAGCUGUCAUUAACUAAAGCUAGAUGCAUUAUUAUGUUCAAGGAAUGAACCCUUAUCUGAUUAAAUUACUGCCAUCUAGGUUUUCUGUUACCUGCAGAUGAGCCAUCCUGAUGCUCAAUAUCAUAGAAUUAUUCUGAAAGUUAAAUGAAAUAAUGCAUGCAUAAUUGCUUAAAUAACUACAGAUAUACUGUUUAAAGAGGUAACACAGGGCAAUGGAAAAGGCAUUGGACUUGAACUCUGACUAAUUUAGCCUGGAAUCCUAGAAAGUCACCUUAUUAGACCUUCUUCAUAGGAAAAUGUAAACAAUCUCUGUGUGUCAGUUGUGUCAUCUCUAAAAUGGAAAUAAUUAGCAUCUUGGAGGAUUGUUGUAAAGGGUAAGGGAGAUAAGAUAUGGGAAAGCUCAUGGCAUAGGGCUUGAUACAUGUUAUUCAAUAAACAUAAGUUAGGGAGAAAAAUUAGCAAGUAGCAGUGUGGUCUGCCCCAAGUGAACACACUUCCUUUAUCUGAGUCAGAUUACACUGCCCCUUGAACCUUUACAACACUAAACAAAAUUUAGAGCACUAGGAGAUACUUCAGAGUGUCCUAUUAAUAAAAGUAGUGGAAGGAUAGUUUUUUUUUUUCUAAUUCUGUGAAGAACAUUAAUGGUAGUUUAAUGGGACUGGCAUUGAAUCUAUAGAUUACUUUGAAAAGUAUGGCCAUUUUCACAAUAUUGAUUCUUCCUAUCCAUGAGCAUGGAAUGUUUUUCCUUUUGUUUGUGUCCUCUCUGAUUUCUUUGAGGAUCAGUUUGUAGUUCUCUUUGAAGAGGUUCCUCACUUUCCUUCUCAGCUGUAUUCCUAGGUAUCUUUUUUUUUUGUAGCAAUUGUGAAUGGGAGUUCAUUCAUGAUUCAUCUCUCUGCUUGCCUAUUGAUGGUGUAUAGGAAUGCUAGAGAUUUUGCACAUUGAUUUUGUAUCCUGAGGCUUUGCUGAAGUUGCUUCUCAGCUUAAGAAGCUUUUGGGCUGAGAAAAUGGGGUUUUUUUAGGUAUAGGAUCACGCCAUCUGUAAACAAAGAUAAUUUGACUUCCUCUCUUUCUAUUUACCCUUUAUUUCUUUAUCUUGUCUGAUUGCCCUGGCCAGAACUUCCAAUACUAUAUUGAAUAAGAGUGGUAAAAGAGGGCAUUCUUGUCUUCUACCACUUUAAAAGCCAUAUGGAACCAAAAAUGAGCCCAAAUAGCCAAGACAAUCCUAAACAAAAAGAACAAACCUGGAGGCACCAUACUACCCAACUUCGAACUAUGCUACAAGGUUAUAGUAACCAAAACAGCAUGAUACUGGUACAAAAACAGGCACAUAGACCAAAGGAAUGAAAAGAGAACUCAGAAAUAAGACUGCACACCUACAACCAUCUGAUCUUCAACAAACCUGACAAAAACAAGCAAUGGGAAAAGAACUCUUUAUUUAAUAAAUGAUACUGGGAGAACUGGUUAGCCAUACACAGAAAAUUGAAAUUGGACCCCUUCCUUACACCUUAUACAGAAAUUAACUCAAGAUGAAUUGAAGACUUAAAUGUUGAUAUGGUUUGGCUCUGGAUCCCCACCCAAAUCUCACCUUGAAUUGUAAUCUCCAUAAUCCCCACAUGUCAAGGGCAGGACAGGGUGGAGGUAAUUGGAUCAGGGUGGUGGUUUCCCCCAUGCUGUUCUCAUGAUAAUGAGUGAGUUCUCAUGAGAUCUGAUGGUUUUAUAAGGGGCUCUUUUCCCUUUGCUUAACACUUCUCCUUCCUUCCACCUUGUGAGGAAACUGCUUUGCUUCCCCUUUACCUUCUGCCAUGAUUGUAAGUUUCCUGAGGCUUUCCCAGCCAUGCUGAACUGUGAGUUAAUUAAACCUCUUUCAUUUCUAUUAAUAAAUACCCAGUCUCAGCAAUUCUAUAGUAAUAUGGAAACAGACUAAUACAAAUUUAAAACCCAAAACUAUAAAAACCCUAGAAGAAAAUCUAGGCAAUACCUUUCAGGCAAAGAUUUUGUUACGAAAAUGCAAAAAGCAAUUGCAACAAAAGCAAAAAUUGACAAAUGGGAUCUAAUUAAAUAAACGAAUUUUGCAGAGCAAAAGAAACUAUCAUCAGAGUGAACAAAGUACAGAAUUGGAGAAAAUUUUUACAAUCUAUCCAUCUGACAAAGGUAUAAUAUCCAGAGUCUACAAGGAACUUAAUCAAACUACAGGAAAAACACAAACAACCCCAUUAAAAAGUGGGCAAAGGAUAUGAACAGACACUUCUCAAAAGAAGACAUACAUGGAGGAGCAAACACGAAAAAAAGCUCAACAUCACUGAUCAUUAGAAAAAUGCAAAUCAGAACCACAAUGAGAUACUAUCUCACGCCAGUGAGAAUGGCGAUUAUUAAAAAGUCCAAAAAUAAUAGAUGCUGGCAAUGUUGUGGAGAAAAAGAAAUGCUUUUACACUGUUAGUGGGAGUGUAAAUUAGUUCAGCCAUUGUGGAAGACAGUGUGGCAAUUCCUCAAAGACUUAGAGGCAGAAAUACCAUUUGACCCAGCAAUCCCAUUACUGGGUAUACACCCAAAGGAAUAUAAAUCAUCCUAUUAUAAAGAUGCAUACACAGGCAUGCUCAUUGCAGCACUCUUUACAGCAGCAAAGACAGGGAAUCAACCUAAAAGCCCAUCAAUGAUAGACUGGAAAAAGAAAAUGUGGUACACAUACACCACAGAAUACUAUGCAGCCAUAAAAAGGAACAAGAUUUUGUUCUAUGCAGGGACAUGGAUGUAACUGGAAGCUGUUAUCCUCAGCAAACUAAUGCAAGAAAAGAAAACCAAACACUCCAUGUUCUCACUUAUAAGUGGGAGCUGAAUGAUGAGAACACAUGGAUAAAUCAGGGGGAACGACACACACUGGGGGCCAUUGGUGGUGGGAUUAGGGGGAGGGAGGGCAUCAGGAAAAAUAGGUCAUGGAUGCUGGGGUUGAUACCUACGUGAUAGGAUGAUCUGUGCAGCAAACCACCAUGGCUCACGUUUUACCUGUGUAACAAA